AUGAACGCUGGCGGCGUGCCUAAUACAUGCAAGUCGAGCGAACGGACGAGAAGCUUGCUUCUCUGAUGUUAGCGGCGGACGGGUGAGUAACACGUGGAUAACCUACCUAUAAGACUGGGAUAACUUCGGGAAACCGUAGCUAAUACCGGAUAAUAUUUUGAACCGCAUGGUUCAAAAGUGAAAGACGGUCUUGCUGUCACUUAUAGAUGGAUCCGCGCUGCAUUAGCUAGUUGGUAAGGUAACGGCUUACCAAGGCAACGAUGCAUAGCCGACCUGAGAGGGUGAUCGGCCACACUGGAACUGAGACACGGUCCAGACUCCUACGGGAGGCAGCAGUAGGGAAUCUUCCGCAAUUGGCGAAAGCCUGACGGAGCAGCGCCGCGUGAGUGAUGAAGGUCUUCGGAUCGUAAAACUCUGUUAUUAGGGAAGAACAUAUGUGUAAGUAACUGUGCACAUCUUGACGGUACCUAAUCAGAAAGCCACGGCUAACUACGUG
rnacentral:rRNA from 1 species